GACGAACGCUGGCGGCGUGCUUAACACAUGCAAGUCGAACGGAAAGGCCCUGCUUUUGUGGGGUGCUCGAGUGGCGAACGGGUGAGUAACACGUGAGUAACCUGCCCUUGACUUUGGGAUAACUUCAGGAAACUGGGGCUAAUACCGGAUAGGAGCUCCUGCUGCAUGGUGGGGGUUGGAAAGUUUCGGCGGUUGGGGAUGGACUCGCGGCUUAUCAGCUUGUUGGUGGGGUAGUGGCUUACCAAGGCUUUGACGGGUAGCCGGCCUGAGAGGGUGACCGGCCCCAUUGGGACUGAGGUACGGCCCAGACUCCUACGGGAGGCAGCAGUGGGAAAUAUUGCACAAUGGGCGGAAGCCUGAUGCAGCAACGCCGCGUGCGGGAUGACGGCCUUCGGGUUGUAAACCGCUUUCGCCUGUGACGAAGCGUGAGUGACGGUAAUGGGUAAAGAAGCACCGGCUAACUACGUG
rnacentral:rRNA from 1 species